rnacentral:lncRNA from 1 species
AUUAAGAGAGAAAAAUUGUAAGGUGAAGAGAAGAGAAGAGAGAAAAUUUAUUGUUUUUCUUCUAAGUCCUUUUUUUUCCUACUUGUUUUUUCCUAUUACAAGAGAGAUUAUUCAUUGUUAUCUCCUUGUAUUUAGAAAGAUUGUUGUAAUUCUCCUACUAUAGUAAAAUCCUCCUAUACUUGCCCGUGGACGUAGCCUAAAUUGGGUAAACCACGUAAAUACUUGUGUCCAUUUUCAGCUGCGAUUUCUCAAUUCCAUUUUGUUGUAAAGCCAAAGUCGACCCACGUUAUUUCUAACACACGCGACAUGGGUAUGUAUACGGAAUAUAUGUUGGAUCCUCUAGAUUUCAACCGAAUAUUUUGUCGUUUUUGCUUCUCUUUCUUUCCUUUUUUUUUCCUCUUUUCCUUUACUUUCCCUUUUCUUCUUUCCCAUUUUCACUCUAUAAACCUAGCAUCACCGCUGAGAGGGUGAAGAAGGAUUGGGGCGCU